rnacentral:lncRNA from 1 species
CUCUCGCCGCUCCCGCAUCGGCUCACAGUGCACGGAAGAAUGUGUUGAUAGUUGUGCUAUCGCGUGCUGUAGUUCACCGCAAUUCAACACUACGCUGGACGGACUGUUGGUGCAGUCGAUGCGGCGUGAACGGACACGAAGGAGCGCUCACCUCAGAAGGGAUGUCACAAUUUCCAGAGACGGAGGCAUCUCUGCACCACAAAGGAGACUGCGGCACUAUGCAGCCUGAACAGCACGACAAAGCAUCUGAUCUGCCUGCUUUGACAAGAUGUGGCUGGGCCUGCAUAAAGAGUGUAAGCAGACUACUGUGUUGCUGAUCAGUGCUGGUGCUGAUCUCUACGUCUGAGUUGGCCUCACAACGUCCAGGCACCACUGUGCUUUGCUUCAUUGACAAGGUGUGGCUGGGCCUGCAGAAAAGCUGUAAGCAGACUGCAGUGUUGCUGAUCAGUGCUGAUCUCCACGUCCGAGUUGGUCCCACAACAUCCAGGCACCAAGGUGCUUUCACAAGAGGCAUACGAGCACUUUGUGUCAAAAACGCCGAGCACUGUGGAUACAGAGGCAAGGAGGCUGAAGGACCUGAACAAGCACCUGGCCACCAUGCUUCGGGAUGCAAAAUAAAGAUGGUUUGUGUUAA